GGGUUGUACUUAAGUUGUCUUUGCCUCCAGCAACACUUACAUGAAAGAAAAUGAACUUCAGUUAAUUUUAUUCUCCAUGGUUCUCCACGGUCAGCUUCAUGCUUUUGUGCUUGCCAAACAUGCUGCAUUCCUGUUUACAAAGCAGUAAUUUAAGUGACAGGUCUUUUGAGUAGAAGGCAUGUCAUUUGUCAUGGACUUCAUGGGAAUGAAAAAAAGCAGGAGGACUUUGACAAGCAAAGUUAAUGGGGAAGACCAGCAAAUGGCUGCAAAUGGCAAUCGUGUGACCUCAGGAUACUGCAACCACACAGUAUUGGCCUAACAACAGCAACUGGAACUGCUGGAGCUCCUGCCAUAAUGUGUACAUGGUUACAUCUCCAUUUCUUUGGUGACAGUGAUAUCUUAUACAGUCUUCUCAAACUAAAUUUAAGGUGGACCAGAACUUUGAAAUAAGAACUGUAUAUCUAACUGCAAUUUUGGAACUGAAUGUUAAGGAAGAACCAAGAUGGUCCUCCGCUCCCUCCUACACAGCAGCUGAAUUAGAUGAAUUUAAAGUGGAUAAGAACUCUGAAAUAAGAACUGUAUAAUUGGAACUGGACAUUAUGGAGAGGUGGGAAUUUGAUGAAUUACGUGAAAUUAUAAAAAAUAUAUGCAUAAAUCAUUAAAAUCAAGCCUAAAUAGAAUUCUGAACUGAGAGAAGCAGGAAUUUAAAGAAGAAUGGGAGAUUAUAAGGACGGAAGAAGUGGGGGGGAUAAUGAAGGCAUAGAAACAGUGGGAAAUAAAAAGCAGACAAAAAACU